rnacentral:lncRNA from 1 species
GUCACAUUCAGGAUGUAUUUAAUGCCAUAUUUGCCCAGGAUGUCCAAGUUGGUGGAAUCUUUGGCACAGCCCAGAUAGAGGUAUGGAAGGAUCUGGACUGGAAAGGCAGGCUGAUUGCUGGGGAUGGGGCUCCCAUCUGACUCUGUUGCACUGCUGGGUUCCCGGUCGGAUUCACCAUCCGAGCAGUCAGAGCUUAUCCGCAGCCCUCCCAGGCCGAGGACAGAUGCCGGGGGGGAGUUGUUGGGUGAGGAGCUGUCAAGGUUUGUCUCGCAGUGCUCUGAAUAUUCGGUCUGAAACUUGUUAAAGCCACCUUUCAGGUAGUAGGCUUUGCAGCCGUCGUCACGCAGCUUCUGGAGCAGCAGCCCCAGCACGGAGCCGGCGGCCCCGGCGUCCUGCCAGUCAGCGGUCGCCUCGUCGUAGAGCAGUACGGUGUCGGCCUUGCAGCGCUUGACGAAGCGCUCCUUGUCCUCGUGGUUGGGGAUAAUCGAGCGGAUGGGCAGGUUGCCCUUCUUGAGGCGGCGGAGCAUCAGGCCGGGGAUGGCCAGAUUGAUGGCCGUCUCGAUGUGCGAGCUCUCGAACAGCUCGUGCGAGCGGCAGUCGAGCAGCAACAGCGAACGGCCGCCGCCCGACUCCAGCUCCUCCUGCAGCCACUCGGCGCUCUUGCACGGCAUCGCCGCAGCCAUGGGCGCCCGCGGGGAGCUCCCCCAGACCUGCGUUUUCAUGGGGCUCGGCAACAGCCCUCCCCCCACUCCCUUCCGCCGCGGCGGCUCGCCGUGCCGGGCACCGCACGGCCGUAGGUACGCGCUGCCUGCGGCCCGGAGCACAACGGCCCCGCUCUGCCCUACGCGGCGCGCCCCAUCCCGACGGCCUCAAUUAAAGCGGAGCUUCGCCGCCGGCUCUGCGUGUCAUGCCACGGGGGGCGGGCGGGUGGGCGGCGGGGCCAACGCGCCCCGCCCCGUGGAGGCCACGCCCCCGGCGCUCUGCACCAAUGAGGUGCGGCGGGAGGGGGCGGGGGCAAAGCGCGGGAAGGGGCGCGGGGUCCCGCCGAGCGCUGCGGGGUCGGAGCGGCGCUCCGUAACAAAAGCGGCGCUGGCGGAACUCCCUGCCCAUUUGGGGAAGGGGCCUCGAAGCGGAGGGUUCUCGUCGCGCCCGUCUCCUUUUAGGCUAAUUCUUAAGUCCGGCCCCUGCUGGAAACGCGCAGCCGACGCGGCGCUUGCGCACGUGGUUAUCUUCAAGCAGGCUGAGCGUCCCGCUGCAAGGCUGUGUGUGUUCGGCAGGGCCGUGCUCGGAGCCGCGCGCGGAUUUCAUUGCUGUCAGCAACAUAAAUGUCUUUGGCGUUGCUGCUCCGUGUCUCAAGCGUGUGCCCCAGGAAGCGGAAUGGCUGGUUGAAGCCAACCACUUCCCCUUGCUCGGUUUAUUUUUACUGCUGGUUGCUGUGGGAAGCUGUUGUGAUUCAGUGCUGCAGUAGGAAGUCACCAACGCAGCUCUUACAGGAAAGGAUGUUGAGAUUCUUAGGCAAGCCGUGGUGAAAAUAGUUGACCUUUCCGUGUGUUUCACAAAGCGCCUUCAGUCCCUACGAGAAACAGCAAUGGGCUGUGCAAGGAAGGCCCGUCAGGGUUUAAAGCCCUUUGUGUGUUGCACGUACUUUGUGUUCUCAGUGCCCAGAAACUUCCUUGGCUCCCCUUUGGAGGCACGAGGGAGGCAGCCGUAACCACAGUGACAGCAGGAGGGAGAGAUUUCACCUCCAUUUCGUGGUCAUGCUGGCAACCACGGAAGUUUCAGGGUGGGACAGGCUCCAGGCUCGUGUCACCUGCAGAGGUGAGACCAGAUUUCACCCAGCAGCAUUGAGGCAACCUUGCCUCCCCAGCCAGGAGCCGGGGGGCGUGGGGAGAGGGCAGCAGAGCACCCCCGGGUCCUCCCGUGUCCAUCGAUCAGGAGCACGCGUCAUCCCGGCGAAUUCCUCCGACACGCAGCCCUCCCGGGCGUGGAGGCCGUCGGUGGGAUCCGGCGGGGCAGGGCUGGCCGCUGAAGCCGGUGGCAGCCCGUCGGCUUGCUGCCCUCUUGAGUCAGCUGCUCCAAAAUGCAGGGCAGCCAAGAAGUGAGUGCAAACGGGGUGACGAUCCUCCCGCGACAGGUCCGGGCCGUUCCCUCGCCUGUGUCCUUCCCGCAGCCACUUGCUGCCGGAGGACUUCUGCAGAGGAAGACCUCUCUGCUCUGCAGAGCCCUGGGCAUCUCCUUCAAUCUCCUGCACCGUGCACGCCACAUCUGGUUUCCUUCUCCGCAGACAAAAAACAAACAAGGCAGAGCAGAAGCACCUGUCUGGGAUGAGGGUGCUCCAGCAUGACAGUGCGAGCUCUGGUGUUUUGGUGAUGUUAUUCUGGCCACACGCACAGCUUUGCUGAGAUCAAAGCUCAGCACACAUCCAGAAAUGAGCAGCAUUCAGCUCAACUCCAAAGAGUUCCAAGUGCUUGAGAACAAGGAUACACAGUGAUAAAAGUAGGUUGCUUCCUUCUCCAUGUUGUACGAUCAAAACUGGACAGGGGUUUCUAAUAUGCAGAUCUGUGUGCAUCUUUCUGGUUACUGUCCUGCUGUAGGACUCUUCUCCAGCAGCCUUUCUACUUGAUGCCCAUACACCAUUCCCACACUUACAUCCUGGGUUCAGAUUGCCUUUGCUCUGCUCUCCUGUGAUGCUGAUGCAACCACUAGCUCAG